rnacentral:rRNA from 1 species
UACGUAGGGGGCAAGCGUUGUCCGGAAUCAUUGGGCGUAAAGCGCGCGUAGGCGGCCCUGUAAGUCCGUUGUGAAAGUCCAGGGCUCAACCCUGGGAUGCCGGUCGAUACUGCCGGACUAGAGUUCGGAAGAGGCGAGUGGAAUUCCCGGUGUAGCGGUGAAAUGCGCAGAUAUCAGGAGGAACACCGGUGGCGAAGGCGGUUCUCUGGGCAUUACCUGACGCUGAGGAGCGAAAGUGUGGGGAGCGAACAGG